rnacentral:rRNA from 1 species
GAAAAGAAACUAACUAGGAUUCCCUUAGUAACGGCGAGUGAACCGGGAUGAGCUCAAAUUUAAAAUCUGGCGUCUUUCAGGCGUCCGAGUUGUAAUCUAUAGAGGCGUUUUCCGCGCCGGACCGCGUCCAAGUCUCUUGGAAUAGAGUAUCAAAGAGGGUGACAAUCCCGUACUUGACGCGACAACCGGUGCUCUGUGAUACGUUCUCAAUGAGUCGAGUUGUUUGGGAAUGCAGCUCUAAAUGGGUGGUAAAUUCCAUCUAAGGCUAAAUAUUGGCGAGAGACCGAUAGCGAACAAGUACCGUGAGGGAAAGAUGAAAAGCACUUUGGAAAGAGAGUUAAACAGCACGUGAAAUUGUUAAAAGGGAAACGAUUGAAGUCAGUCGUGUGAAAGGUAUUCAGCCGUCUCUGGCGGUGUAUUUGCCUUUCACGGGUCAACAUCAGUUUGAUCCGGUAGAAAAAGGCGGGAGGAAGGUGGCACCCUCGGGUGUGUUAUAGCCUCCUGUCAUAUGUGCCGGACCAGACUGAGGAACGCAGCUUGCCGCAAGGCCGGGGUUCGCCCACGUACAAGCUUAGGAUGUUGACAUAAUGGCUUUAAACGACCCGUCU